rnacentral:lncRNA from 1 species
UAAUAGUGAUGAAGUAUACAACAUGUAUCUGUUUUACGAUUUGUGCUUUCGUCUUCUGAUUUGUAUCUGUUUUACGAUUUGUGCUUUCGUCUUCUGAUUCGUAUCUGUUUUGGAAAGAUUAUAUGAUAUAUGUUCUGUUGUGUGUAAAGAAACUAUAUAUUGCAUGUACUAUAUUGUGAUUUCAAAUAUUGCUUAUUGGGAUAUUUUAUCUCACCCCUCCUAUCAUCCUCCAUAUACAGAAAAUACCGCUGCAGAGUGAGCAGUGAUACGGAAGAAAUCUCUAAAGCCUAAACUCUAAAAUUAAAUUAC